rnacentral:lncRNA from 1 species
GUACUCUUGCACUCAAACAGAACGCGGAACUCAUCACCAAUCUGGCCAUCUUUGCAAAGGUCACAUAACCUCAUGCCCUUUAUACCUUCCAGUGACUGUUGGUAUUCUUGUAUUGUUUACACUGAAGUGGCAGAUGGCCAGUCUAUACUUUUGGUUUGGACACAAUAAAUACUUUUCUAAUUUAAAUUCUUGUUUAAACUCAGUGUAGAUGUCACAUGAUGUCAUACUGCCAAGUUCACUUCUCCAUGUCUGCAGAAACUGAUCUUUCAGUCUGUGUUCAAUAGUCAGCUUCAGCCAGUCAGAGCUAAUACACUUUUGAGAGAGCCAGAGAUAAAACAACCCACAACCAUCCAAUAUCUGCUUAACCUGCAGAAUCCAUGGUGACACAAAUACACCUGAGUUACACAAACCAAGUAAGCAGUUAUACACUAAUGUAUUCAAUUUAUUUUCUUUACCUUCUAUCAAAUGAUCCCAGUAACCAACAAUUAUUUUUUUUUAACUGCAACAACCCUUGUAAUUCAUAUUCAUAGUGAUUCUGAGGUAUUCAAAACAAUGGACAACUCCUGAUUUUUCUCCAGUACAGGUGAACUAAAGUUUGCUGAUGUCAGCUUUUCUGUGGCCGAAGACUGUAACUUUAGUCUUUUCACUACUGAUCUUUAAUUUCCAUCAGUUAAUAGGCUUGCAGCUAUCGCCUUUUAGAUGGUUCUCCAGGUCAUUAAUAAACAGUGCAAACAGCAAUGGUGAUAGGUUUUCCUCUUGCCUAAAACCUGCUAAACUUACAAAGAACUCUGAUUUCAUCCCAUUCACUUAAACCCCUUAUUGGCCUCCCAAAAGGACUCAAACUAAAGCUUUUUUCUUAACUUCAUUUUUGUGUCUUACAGAGAUUGUUCUCCAUUUCUAAAGCUGUUGAAGAGCUAUUUGAUGAUGAGGACAUCCAUGUCCAAACAGCCUUUGAUGCAAGUAUGUGAGCAUGAGUGAGAUUCAGUCAGAUCACAGUAUUUCCUUUCAAAGAACUGCCUGCAGCAUUGAGCCAUGCAGGGUUAAGUAAUGAAGCAUGCCGCUUUUCUACCUACAGUAAAUCCUGUUUUAGCUUUAAUUCCUGUUACUUGUGUAGACAUGGACAAAAAGCAUUUAACCUAUGAAGUUCAAGUGAUGAGCUAUCUGUUAAAUACCUAUUAUUUCCACUGCACAAACCUCAAUAAAGAGGAAACUGGCUGGAGGACAGAUCAUCAAAGUGCUAAAAGUGUUCAUUGACAAAGUAUUUUUUACCUUGCUUUCAAAAUGGACACCAUGGUGCAUUAAUAAUAUACAUAUUUGAAGUUAUUUAUGAGCACUACUGACAAAACUCUCUUUUGCUACCAUAGUUUAAAAAACAAAGAGCAGAAGUAGCUGUGAGGGUAGUGUUUGCUAUAUGAGAUCUCAUAAUGAUGCCCUCUAGAAAGCAUCAAGAGGACAAACAGACAUUACAGUUAUAAAAGUACAGAAAGAGUCUUUCUAAAUUGGGGCCACUUGGGAAAUUUUGUUCAACUAAAAAGUUAUGUGAGAAGAAGCACAUCAUCUUGAUAUUCCUCUGGAGUUCAUUAGGCUCUAAUCCACAAAUACACUGACCUCUACAGAGCUGUCUUGUGGCAUUUCUGCAUCGACAGGACUCACUGAAGGCAUCGCCCUGGACUACAAAUAUCCUACUGUAACAAGACACUCACAGAAAACACUCACAGGAACCAAAAUGAAGUCUGUGUUCAUCAACAUCUACAAAUUACUCAAGUUUAAAGUCAAAGUCUUCAUCUGAGCUCUUUUACAAAAUGAACAUCAUGUUGUAGAAAACUUAAAAAGUAGUAUUCAAGCCCAUAAACUCUCUGGAAGAGGGUUUUCUGAGGACAAAAAACAGCUGCAGGGGCUUUUUCUCUUGAUCUUCAUCUGUGCUCUUUUUGCAAUAUCAUGAGUUCCCCUUUAAGUUCAAAGCUCUUUAUUAUCAUUUGCUUCUUUGAAAACAGGCGGCUAUUUCUUUUGCUUUCAUAUAUCAUAUGCCUAAUUCAACAUGGAUGGCGAAUCUUGAACUUUAAAAAGUUAAAGGCUUCAUUGUGCAGUAAAUACUCAGUAAAAUCUGUAAACAAGCAAAAGCAAAGAAGGUCUAUAAAGAGGACAGAAAGGUCCAGGAGGGUCUGUGUUUUUUCAACAUGUGCUAGGGUGUGGAUUUUCUUUUCUGUCUAGUCUACGCUUUUCCCUCUUUAGGCUUUUCAUCAGUCAUUUUGUGUUACCCCGUCUCUUUUUCUUCUUCUCCCUCUCUGACUCUGAAGCAAAUUGAGUCUGAAUGAGCUCCAAAUCAUGUUCAAGUGCAGCCACAGACACUUCCAACUCUCUCAGACAGUCACUCAGCCUGGUAAACUAUUAUCAGCUCACACACAUACACACACACAUACAUAAACAGAUGCAGACUGCUCUGUCUGGCAGUCUACCAAGAGCCUUUGGCACUUGCGCUGCUGUACCAUCAUUAUCCUGUGAUGAAUAAUCUCUCUAUCGUUCUCUUUUACAGGACAGAGCCAAGGAGCUGCAGAGAGAGAGAGAGUCAGAGUGAUCAGAGACUGACACGUAGCGUGUCGUAAUGUCAGGCUGCAGCCCCAAAGAGUUUCUUCAAGAGCGUCUCAAUGACUCCUAGUGGCAACUUUGAACUGAGGACUCUAAGGGAAACUGGAUCUCAUCAAACAGUACUGAGCAGGGGGACAGGUUCGCAGGCAAGUCAAGAAUUAGGCAAAAUACCUUAAUCCACUCCAAUAUAAAACCAAUAUCUUGCUGCCUCUUGGUAUAUUUGAGACUCUUAUAUUAGCUUCAAGUAUUCUGAAUUAUCUCACUUUGCAGUUGCCUAAAGAGACUGAACAGUCGCUGGUCUGUUCUGUUGAAAAGCAGGAAAGGGGAAAAAACACAUCAAUUUCUCAAACCUCAUUUUCUCCUUAAUACAUG